GCCGCUGUGGUGGAAUCGGCAGACACAAGGGACUUAAAAUCCCUCGCUCUCAACAAGCGUACCGGUUCAAGUCCGGUCAGCGGCA
rnacentral:tRNA from 1 species